rnacentral:rRNA from 1 species
UACGUAGGGUGCAAGCGUUGUCCGGAAUUAUUGGGCGUAAAGAGCUCGUAGGCGGUCUGUCGCGUCUGCUGUGAAAACUCAGGGCUUAACCCUGAGCUUGCAGUGGGUACGGGCAGACUAGAGUGCGGUAGGGGGAGACUGGAAUUCCUGGUGUAGCGGUGAAAUGCGCAGAUAUCAGGAGGAACACCGGUGGGCGAAGGCGGGGUCUCUGGGCCGUAAACUGACGCUGGAGGAGCGAAAGCAUGGGGAGCGAACAGG